AUGCGGCCUCGCCGUCGCCGGGGCCGAGCGACGAGUCGCCCCGUCCCGCCGCCUCCCUCGUCGGCCUGCAUGGACCCGCCGCCUCCCUCAUCGGCCUGCAUGGACCCGCCGCCUCCCUCGUCGGCCUGCCCCGUCCCGCCGCCUCCUUCGUCGGCCUGCCCCGUCCAGCCGCCUCCCUCGUCGGCCUGCCCCGUCCCGGUGCCUCACUCGGGGGCCGGCGAGCUUGUACGGCAGCCUCUACGGAUCCCCCAACCUCCUGCUUCUCAACAACUGACACUUCAACAAAAGGUCAGCGAGAUGCAUGAAAGGUUCCUUCAGUUGAGUGAUUUACAAAAAAUCAAAAGACAUGUUGAUUCACUGCUGCAAGACUUGAGGAAAGCAGCAGAACUUGCCUCCAAAGAACAACUCAUAAUUUCCGGGCUUGUUGAGAGACAAAGUGGAGAUUAUUUCUUUGGAUGUCAGCCUACUUCGUUCAUCAACACAUUUGGCCCAAUAGUGAAAUUAUUGGAUAAAAUGUGUCAGCAAAAUAAUAAGAUCUUGAAUGGUCUCGAGACUGGUUUGCUCCUCUAUUUCAAUGAUGAGGAUCCUUUACUAUUGCAUGUGCAAAAUCUUCAAAAGAGAAGCAAGCAACUGUCUAAGAUUGUAGCUAAACCGGCAAGUAGAUUUGUCCACUACGAUAGCCGUGUCAAUGUUGAACUGAAAUGGAUUUCUCAGUUUCCAAUAGUUUCAGAAAUCUGCCUGCAACAGUUUUCCACCAUUAUGCCAACACUGAUUGCUUUGCAAAAGGACCUGUCAGUUGUGAGUCAAGCCCUUGAUGAACUUGCAUCUUGCAAGGAUGCUUCUCAAGAUUUCUGCUCGAAGUUCCGUACUUUGCACAUAUUACCGAUGACCUUGGAUUCCAUUCAAUCAAUGUCAAGGAGUUCUACUACCAUCGUGCAAGCCGUGGAUGACAUUUGCUCUCAAUGCAAGAAUCUGACAAGUGUUUAUCAAGAAAAGGAAAUAAUUGCUUUGGGAUUUAUUGGAUGUGAGCGGUUUGUAAAGAAAAUGGUCUCCGAGGUUGAGGGUCCACUAAGUGAACUUCAUCAACAAGUUAUCAAUGCUAAAAAGUUGUAUGAUCGCAAGUUCAGCCGCCUAACAGUGAUGCAAAAGGACCAGACACAAAAGUGUACAUGUAUAAGGAAGCAGACGGCCUCUCUGACUUCAGUUGGAGGUUUAGAUUUAUUAAUGGCAGGAGCAUUAUGCCAUCACUUAGGGACCAGAGAAGAGGCCAAUGUGCAUAUGCUUCAACGAUGUCAUGUACUGAAUCACUUUACAAAAGAGAGAAUUGGAACUGAAACUUAUCUGUCAGAGGAGUUCAUUCUGAAUCUUUCGCUGGAACAUCUUAGAGAUCUGGUUGAUGCAUUUUGUGCAACAAAUUCUAUUAAAGGCCACAACACGCUUGAUUACUAUCUCGAAGCUCAGGGUGUCAUAACCGAAGAAGCAUACGACAACGCAAAAGAAAAUUUUCACAGUUACCGACGUUAUCGCAUAAAGGAAUUUGAGAAGCUUAAUACAGCCAGAGUUAAAGAGGGUCAUGCCUUAUUGGAGGAUGGAAUAGCUCUUAUUGGGAACUUCAGAGUCACAACCGACUAUCAUAGGCUUGGACGCAACGACGUAUAUGACAUUCCUGAGGGCGCAACAUUUGAGACAAAUCCUUCAGGGCAGUAUUGCUCCCACUGUGUGGUCAUCAUAGGUUAUGGCGUCACAAGUGAUGGGCUGUCGUACUACAUUUUUCAAAACUCGUACGGUAAAAAGUGGGGAGACAAAGGUCGAAUAGCUUGUAGUUGUCUCAAGUAUCUUUACCGUGCGAGUGUUUAG
rnacentral:rRNA from 1 species